rnacentral:rRNA from 1 species
GUGGGGAAUCUUGCGCAAUGGGCGAAAGCCUGACGCAGCCAUGCCGCGUGAAUGAUGAAGGUCUUAGGAUUGUAAAAUUCUUUCACCGGGGACGAUAAUGACGGUACCCGGAGAAGAAGCUCCGGCUAACUUCGUGCCAGCAGCCGCGGUAAUACGAAGGGGGCUAGCGUUGCUCGGAAUUACUGGGCGUAAAGGGCGCGUAGGCGGACAGCUUAGUCAGAGGUGAAAGCCCAGGGCUCAAUCUUGGAAUUGCCUUUGAUACUGGCUGUCUUGAGUUUGGGAGAGGUGAGUGGAACUCCGAGUGUAGAGGUGAAAUUCGUAGAUAUUCGGAAGAACACCAGUGGCGAAGGCGACUCACUGGCCCAAUACUGACGCUGAGGCGCGAAAGCGUGGGGAGCAAACAGGAUUAGAUACCCCUGUAGUCC